GGGUCUCUUAUAUGGGAAGACCGUAGUGUCCUGGAUGCUGAUGGACUAAUCAUAGCCUGGAUGACUCCGACUGAUAACUGGGACCUAUGUGUUGCUUAGCAACUUUGUAUUUUUGUCUUUGACACCUCUCUUGCCCGUCUGAGUGAAUAACCUGCCCUGCAUAGAGCUAUGCUUUUGGCACAAGUUUUCUUAACAUUUCGAAGCCUGUUUUCUCAAUAUGUAAAAUGAGGACAAUGAAAUAAAGCAGAGACUUGGUUUGAGAACUAAAUAAGAUCAUGGAAAGGGCAUUGUCUCGUGCAGUAAUGAGAGGGACGCCUAAUCUAAUCAGACGCCAUUCUGUGUGCUUCUGGAUUUAAUGCAGCCAGCGGCUCAAGGAGCAGAAAACCUCUGAGCAGAUAAACACCAGAAAGGUCCAGUCCAGCAUUCCUGACAGGUGCCAAGUCGCCCUGAACACCACCUACCCUGUCCUCAACCCCAAUCGGCGCCCACACCAUAAUCUGCCUCCAACCUCUUCUGGUGUUUCGAGCCCUGUGACUGGUGAAGUCAUUAAGGGGCCUGUCCCCAAAUAAACCUGCCUUUUUACUCUUAA
rnacentral:lncRNA from 1 species